AAAAAGGUGCGCAGCCCGGUAGCGCAUCUGGUUUGGGACCAGAGGGUCAGAGGUUCGAAUCCUCUCUCUUU
rnacentral:tRNA from 1 species